ACACUUUGGAAGACAGCGACAUCUUUUCACAGUUGCCCAACUGUGGUAAGGAGAAGUCAUACUGCAGAGAGAGAGAGAGAGAUGUGAGCCUGGGGCUGCUCGCCCUCCCCACUCAGCCCUGUACUGGGAAGUGCAGGAGGCAGCACUCAGCACUCAGCUCAGCCUCACUGAGGAGCUGAGAUUUCCAAAGUCCAAGUCGUGCUCGCAGACUCCCUGUAUAAAUCAACUCUGCACACCAGACCACACCUUUUGCUUCUCUUGCCUAUAGGGUAAGCC
rnacentral:lncRNA from 1 species